rnacentral:rRNA from 1 species
UACGGGGGGGGCAAGCGUUGUUCGGAAUUACUGGGCGUAAAGGGCUCGUAGGUGGCCAACUAAGUCAGACGUGAAAUCCCUCGGCUUAACCGGGGAACUGCGUCUGAUACUGGAUGGCUUGAGUUUGGGAGAGGGAUGCGGAAUUCCGAGUGUAGAGGUGAAAUUCGUAGAUAUUCGGAAGAACACCAGUGGCGAAGGCGACUCGCUGGACAAGUAUUGACGCUGAGGUGCGAAAGCGUGGGGAGCAAACAGG